UACGUAGGGGCUAGCGUUAUCCGGAAUUACUGGGCGUAAAGGGUGCGUAGGUGGUUUCUUAAGUCAGAGGUGAAAGGCUACGGCUCAACCGUAGUAAGCCUUUGAAACUGGGAAACUUGAGUGCAGGAGAGGAGAGUGGAAUUCCUAGUGUAGCGGUGAAAUGCGUAGAGAUCGGGAGGAACAUCUGUGGCGAAGGCGGCCAUCUGGACCAGCACUGACACUGAGGCACGAAAGCGUGGGGAGCAAACAGGAUUAGAUACCCUGGUAGUCCCU
rnacentral:rRNA from 1 species